rnacentral:tRNA from 1 species
GAGAAAUUAAUUUAACGAAAAUAUAGGUGUGUCAACCCUAAAAUAAAAUUUUAAUUUUAUUUUUCA